rnacentral:rRNA from 1 species
AGAGUUUGAUCCUGGCUCAGAACGAACGCUGGCGGCAGGCUUAACACAUGCAAGUCGAACGCACCCUUCGGGGUGAGUGGCAGACGGGUGAGUAACGCGUGGGAACGUGCCCUUCAGUUCGGAAUAACCCAGGGAAACUUGGGCUAAUACCGGAUACGUCCGAAAGGAGAAAGAUUGAUCGCUGAAGGAUCGGCCCGCGUCUGAUUAGCUGGUUGGUGGGGUAAUGGCCCACCAAGGCGACGAUCAGUAGCUGGUCUGAGAGGAUGAUCAGCCACAUUGGGACUGAGACACGGCCCAAACUCCUACGGGAGGCAGCAGUGGGGAAUAUUGGACAAUGGGCGCAAGCCUGAUCCAGCCAUGCCGCGUGAGUGAUGAAGGCCUUAGGGUUGUAAAGCUCUUUCGGCGGGGACGAUAAUGACGGUACCCGCAGAAGAAGCCCCGGCUAACUUCGUGCCAGCAGCCGCGGUAAUACGAAGGGGGCUAGCGUUGUUCGGAAUCACUGGGCGUAAAGGGCGCGUAGGCGGCUUUGUCGGUCGGGGGUGAAAGCCUGUGGCUCAACCACAGAAUUGCCUUCGAUACUGCAUGGCUUGAGACCGGAAGAGGUUAGUGGAACUGCGAGUGUAGAGGUGAAAUUCGUAGAUAUUCGCAAGAACACCAGUGGCGAAGGCGGCUGACUGGUCCGGUUCUGACGCUGAGGCGCGAAAGCGUGGGGAGCAAACAGGAUUAGAUACCCUAGUAGUCC